rnacentral:misc_RNA from 2 species
CUGAAUUGUUAACACGAGUUGUUGCUGGCCCCCAAAAUGGAGGCAUGUGCACGCUCUGUUUACGAAUCCACUCACACCUGUGCACCCUCUGUAGUUCUGUGGCCUGGGUGACUCUGUCCCCUUGCUGCUGUUCUGCAUCCUUUACACACAUACACUGUAACAUAGUCUUGUGGAAUGUAUCCUGCAUAUUAUGCAAUACAAUA